rnacentral:lncRNA from 1 species
CUUUGGCUCCUGGGGAUCCACCUGCAGCCCACAGGGGCCUGGAAGUGCCGGGGGACCAUGGUCCUGGACACCCAGAGACUUGGCAGAACAUCAGCUGAUGCUGCUCCCUUUAAAACACUUUUGACUGCUCUCUGGUUUGGCUACUGUUCAUUAGUUGAUGCUGAAACUGUUCUUACUGAAGCCUUCUGCUUCAAAUUGAGGGUGACAACAUUGACUCUCCUGGUUCUCAGACCUCUGGAUAUGAGACCUCUGGCGCAACUCACCCCUGGCUUGCACCAAACAUUCUUAAAAUGUUUAUUGGGGUCAGGUGCAAUGGCUCGCACCUGCAAUCCCAGCGCUUUGGGAGGCCAAGGCAGGAGGACUGCUUGAGACCAGGAGUUCAAGACCAGCCUGUACAACAAGACAAUUUGGCCAGGAAGUGACCGGCAAUGGAAAGAGGGAAAUAAUCAGCACAUCCGCAUGUGUGCCCAUCUCAGAGACACAAACUGUGAAUAACAACUCACUUGGCUUCAUAACCAAGACCUACUCUGAGGAAUUGCAUCUCUUCCUUGGAGACCUUGAUUGGCCUGCUAGGUUAAAGGCAUUUCACUAAAUUCUUGGAGGAGUCUGAGAGAACUUGGGGGCGCUUGAGGAACCCAAAGGUGUGAAGUAAAAGCUGGAAACCAAGAUUGCUGGGAAAGUUCAGAGAAAGUAGAGAUACUUCGUUUGAUGGAGAUCACAUGCAAGGGAGUCUACUCCAAGAUCAAAGGCAACCUAUAGCAAUUUAUGAGAAAUGAAGGAAGUGGGAGAGAUGCUAAGUUACUUUAAGGGAUGUUCUGAAAUCAUGAAUCUAGCUGGAAUAGCUGGUGUUGGCUGUGUCCAGAAGAGCUGGGACAAGUACAGACA